GAUGAACGCUGGCGGCGUGCCUAAUACAUGCAAGUCGAGCGAACAGACGAGGAGCUUGCUCCUCUGACGUUAGCGGCGGACGGGUGAGUAACACGUGGAUAACCUACCUAUAAGACUGGGAUAACUUCGGGAAACCGGAUCUCAUACCGGAUAAUAUAUUGAACCGCAUGGUUCAAUAGUGAACGACGGUUUUGCUGUCACUUAUAGAUGUAUCCGCGCCGCAUUAGCUAGUUGGUAAGGUAACGGCUUACCAAGGCAACGAUGCGUAGCCGACCUGAGAGGGUGAUCGGACACACUGGAACUGAGACACGGUCCAGACUCCUAAGGGAGGCAGCAGUAGGGAAUCUUCCGCAAUGGGCGAAAGCUUGACGGAGCAACGCCGCGUGAGUGAUGAAGGUCUUCGGAUCGUAAAACUCUGUUAUUAGGGAAGAACAAAUGUGUAAGUAACUAUGCACGUCUUGACGGUACCUAAUCAGAAAGCCACGGCUAACUACGUG
rnacentral:rRNA from 1 species